rnacentral:rRNA from 1 species
AUUGAACGCUGGCGGCAUGCCUUACACAUGCAAGUUGAACGGUAACAGGUUAAGCUGACGAGUGGCGAAAGGGUGAGUAAUGUAUCGGAACGUGCCCAGUCGUGGGGGAUAACGUAGCGAAAGCUACGCUAAUACCGCAUACGAUCUACGGAUGAAAGCGGGGGAUUGCAAGACCUCGCGCGAUUGGAGCGGCCGAUAUCAGAUUAGGUUGUUGGAGGGGUGAAAGCUCCCUAAGCUUGCGAUCUGUAGCUGGUCUGAGAGGACGACUAGCCACGCUUGAACUGAGACACGGUGCAGACGCCUACGGGAUGCAACAAUGGGGAAUUUUGGUCUAUUGACGCAAGUCUGAUCCAUCUAUGCCGCUUGCAGGUCGAAGGCCUUCGGGUUGUAAACUGCUUUUGUACGGAACGAAACGGUGAGCUCUAAUACAGUUUGCUAAUGACGGUACCUUAAGAGUAAGCAGCGGCUAACUACGUGCCAGCCGCCGCAGUAA